GGCCUGAUGGUCUAGUAGUAUGAUUCCUUGUUAGGGAGUUUCGACUCGUCUCGAGGAGGUCCCGGGUUCAAUUCCCGGUUAGGCCC